GAUGAACGCUGGCGGUAUGCUUAACACAUGCAAGUCGAACGGACUCUUCGGAGUUAGUGGCGGACGGGUGAGUAACGCGUGAGAAUCUGGCUUUGGGUUCGGGACAACCACUGGAAACGGUGGCUAAUACCGGAUGUGCCGAGAGGUAAAAGAGAAAUUGCCUGAAGAUGAGCUAGCGUCUAAUUAGCUAGUUGGUGAGGUAAAGGCUCACCAAGGCAGCGAUCAGUAGCUGGUCUGAGAGGAUGACCAGCCACACUGGGACUGAGACACGGCCCAGACUCAUACGGGAGGCAGCAGUGGGGAAUUUUCCGCAAUGGGCGAAAGCCUGACGGAGCAAUACCGCGUGAGGGAAGAAGGCUCUUGGGUUGUAAAUCUCUUUUCUUAGGGAAGAACAAAAUGACGGUACCUAAGGAAUCAGCAUCGGCUAACUCCGUG
rnacentral:rRNA from 1 species